GCUGGUUUAGUAUAGUGGCAAUACAGAAGCAUGGUAAGCUUCAGCGAACAGUUCAAUUCUGUUAACCAGCACCA
rnacentral:tRNA from 1 species